AAUCAACGCUGGCGGCGUGCUUAACACAUGCAAGUCGAGCGGUAAGGCCCUUUCGGGGGUACACGAGCGGCGAACGGGUGAGUAACACGUGGGUGACCUGCCCUUAGCUCUGGGAUAAGCCUGGGAAACUGGGUCUAAUACCGGAUAUGACUCCAUGACGCAUGUUGUGGGGUGGAAAGCCUUGUGCGGCUAGGGAUGGGCCCGCGGCCUAUCAGCUUGUUGGUGGGGUGAUGGCCUACCAAGGCGACGACGGGUAGCCGGCCUGAGAGGGCGACCGGCCACACUGGGACUGAGACACGGCCCAGACUCCUACGGGAGGCAGCAGUGGGGAAUCUUGCGCAAUGGGCGAAAGCCUGACGCAGCGACGCCGCGUGGGGAUGACGGCCU
rnacentral:rRNA from 1 species